rnacentral:antisense_RNA from 15 species
GUCUAUGGCGGGUGGCGUGGAGAGACUUUCGAGUCUACCGGUCCUGGGGUCGGUCUUCUAACUCCGCGUCGUCCGCCUCCAU